rfam:Aedes albopictus isolate Foshan contig28843, whole genome shotgun sequence.
UAGCCUAGUGGUUAAGGCUAUGGAUCGCCAAUUCGGAAACGGCGGGUUCGAUUCCCGU